rnacentral:rRNA from 1 species
CCUACGUUGGGCUGCAGUGGGGAAUAUUGGACAAUGGGCGAAAGCCUGAUCCAGCCAUGCCGCUUGUGUGAAGAAGGCCUUCGGGUUGUAAAGCACUUUCAGUGGGGAAGAAAGCCUUGGGGCUAAUACCCUCGAGGAAGGACAUCACCCACAGAAGAAGCACCGGCUAACUCCGUGCCAGCAGCCGCGGUAAUACGGAGGGUGCGAGCGUUAAUCGGAAUUACUGGGCGUAAAGCGCGCGUAGGCGGUCUGAUAAGCCGGUUGUGAAAGCCCCGGGCUCAACCUGGGAACGGCAUCCGGAACUGUCAGGCUAGAGUGCAGGAGAGGAAGGUAGAAUUCCCGGUGUAGCGGUGAAAUGCGUAGAGAUCGGGAGGAAUACCAGUGGCGAAGGCGGCCUUCUGGACUGACACUGACGCUGAGGUGCGAAAGCGUGGGUAGCAAACAGGAUUAGAUACCCGGGUAGUC